GUCCCCGUGGCUUAGUCCGGAAGAGCGGAUGGCUGUUAACCAUCAGGUCAAGGGUUCAAAUCCCUUCGGGGACG
rnacentral:tRNA from 1 species